rnacentral:rRNA from 1 species
CAGUAGCCGCGGUAAUACAGAGGGUGCGAGCGUUAAUCGGAUUUACUGGGCGUAAAUCGUGCGUAGGCGGCUUUUUAAGUCGGAUGUGAAAUCCCUGAGCUUAACUUAGGAAUUGCAUUCGAUACUGGGAAGCUAGAGUAUGGGAGAGGAUGGUAGAAUUCCAGGUGUAGCGGUGAAAUGCGUAGAGAUCUGGAGGAAUACCGAUGGCGAAGGCAGCCAUCUGGCCUAAUACUGACGCUGAGGUACGAAAGCAUGGGGAGCAAACAGGAUUAGAGACCCCCGUAGUCCCUGUCUCUUAUAC